rnacentral:rRNA from 1 species
UACGUAGGGGGCAAGGGUUGUCCGGAAUUAUUGGGCGUAAAGAGCGUGUAGGCGGUUUUAUAAGUCCGCUGUGAAAACUCGAGGCUCAACCUCGAGCUGUCGGUGGAAACCGUCAGGCUAGAGUCCGGAAGAGGAGAGUGGAAUUCCUGGUGUAGCGGUGAAAUGCGCAGAUAUCAGGAAGAACACCCGUGGCGAAGGCGGCUCUCUGGGACGGUACUGACGCUGAGACGCGAAAGCGUGGGGAGCGAACAGG